UGGUCUUAACAACUCCGCCCCCCCACUGACGUAAGCGGUUCUUUCCUCUGGCCCAGCAGAGAGUUGGUGCUAGCCUGGAACCGGUUUUUCUGGCCCCAGAGCCAGUUCUUUGUCAGUGGAAACAGAAAACCCGGGUCCAAACUAAGCACUGGCCCCGAACCAGCCCUGGAACUGCUUUGGUGGAAAAGGGGCAAUGGAGGAUGCUUGGACUGAUAAAAGAAACAGACUCUCUGUUGCAAUGGUGAAGGCUGAGCUUCAAGUCAGGCUAAACUUUCAGUUGUCCUGUACUGAGUUCAAGACAUUCAUUGAAAAUCAGCCAGGACUCAGCAGCAGCAAAGAAAAACACCAAAUAUAAAUGGAAGAUUAGCCAAGAGCAGCAGAGGCACAGACAAGCAAAGCACACAGCACACUCUAAGCAAUCAGGAAAACUGGGUGCAAUGUCCUGGAUGUGACACCAGUCCAUAGCAGGGAGCAAAAGAAGUCCUACAGUAAUUUUCACUGAAUGCUCAAUAUACAAGCAAGAACAUUGAAUACCUCUCUACAUCUCCAACUUCAGUUGUGCCUGUGCCAAGUGCUUCCAUCACCUUGUGCUGAGCUUCCUGAGUAAAGCUUCCUAAAGCAGGCAGCCGCAGUGAGGAAAAAGAAAAAAAAAAACA